GAGAUGUCAUUGGAAUCUACAGAUGGUGGAGGGCACAGGUUCACUUGGCAAUGAGGAGCCCAAGAUAACCAGGAGACAGUCUCAACUUCUGGUUUAAUGGAACCAUUGGCUCACACCACGGCUCUGUACCAAGGGCUUGGACCCGCCUGCAGCCAGACGGCAUCUCACUAGAUGUCAUCAUCAUCAAAGAGAUCUUCAAAACCAUUUAAAAAGUCUACAUGAACAGCCUUUUCAUUAGUUGCCAAGUCCAUCAAGAACCUGGUGCUGCCUCCCGCCUCGUCCAGGUCCACGUAGGGCCCGGCGCCCUUGGAAACAUCUCAUCCACGGCCAGCUACAUCUUGGGCUGCGGCGCUCUAGGCCCACUUCCGGCCACGGGGCCGCUUCCUAUUUUUCUAUUUUUUAACAACUCCCCAUAUUAAUAUUCAUUCACUCAUUGACUGUUAAGCCCUUCUAUGUAUCAGGAAUUGUUCUAGGUACUAGGACAUAUCAGUUAAGAAAACAUUUGUUAAUCCUUGCCUUCAUGUAGUUUAUUAGAUUGUGAACAGAUCAGAAAAAAACAUGUAAAAAAUUAUAAAAUGUUAGGUGAUCAAAGUUAUGGUGAAAAACAGGAAAGGGAAGAGGCAGAAGGAGUGUUGAGGUGCAGUGUUAAAUAGAGUAGUCAGAGAAGACCUCUCUGAAAUGUCAUUUGAGUUAAAUUCUGAAAGGUGUGAGGAAGUCAGCCUUGUGACUAUGUCUAGAGGAAGAGCAUUCCAAGAAAAUAAAACUGUCAGAGUGGCUUGGUGAUGCCUGAAAAUGCAUUUUACUAUUUUUGUACACGUCUGAAAUUUUCCAUGAAACAAGUUAAAAAAAAAAGUAGCCCUGGUAAAAGGGAGGUUGAAGCGGGCGGAUCACUUGAGGUCAGGA
ensembl:lncRNA novel transcript, antisense to FERMT2